CAGGACAAGGACAAGAGAGGCAGAAGGUGAAGGAAGGGCUGAUGUGAAGAGAGAUCCAAGCAUCGCUUCCUGAUCAGACUAAGACUUGGGCCUUGAGAGACUUGGACCUUCUGCAAGGCCAGGAGGAGCACGGGGCAGCUCUGUGCUGCAGGAAACCUCUUUGCAAGGAGAGGUUGAGCUGAAGAACAAAUUCAUUGGCAAACCAGAGGACUGUGACCCUCCUCCUGGAACAUCUCAGUACUUGAAGGAAAGGUCACUCAGGAAAUCUUAACAGGCUCUGUGACGGGCACGAAAGAGAAGAAAUCUUUGGAAGCUUCACCUGUGGUCUGAAAGCCAGAGCUCUGCCUUUCCUGCUUUCUGCCUCAUUGGUCCUGAAGAUUUUGCAGGGAGAGCUGAGUUGAUGCCAGUGCUGCUGCCUGAGUUGAAGAGCACCUCUGAGGCUGCUCUUGGGUCAGUUCACUCUGCCCAGCCCCAAGUUCACUGCUGUGUGCAAAGGUUCAGAUGUUCUUUCCUCCCUGCUCCACGGAGAUCCUCUUCACAGCAGGAAGCCUGACCAGGGCAAGGAAACCCUUCCAGCUGGUCAGGCCCCAGACACUUCCAAAACUCUGAGAAUCUCUCUCU